rnacentral:SRP_RNA from 1 species
GCCUGGUGCGGUGGCGCGUGCUUCUAGUCCCAGAUACUCCGGAGGCUGAGAUGGGAGGAUAACUUGAGCCCAGGAGUUCUGGGCCAUAGUGUGCUAUGCCGAUCGGGUCUGCACUAAGUUCGGCAUCAAUAUGGUGACCUCCUGGGAGCUGGGGACCAGCAGGUUGCCCAGGGUGGGGCAAACCGGCCCAUGUCAGAAACGGAGCAAGUCAAAACUCCCGGGCUGCUGAUCAGUAGUGGGAUCACGCCUGUGAAUAGCCACUGCACUCCAGCCUGGGCAACAUAGCAGGAACUUGUCUCU